rnacentral:rRNA from 1 species
GACGAACGCUGGCGGCGUGCUUAACACAUGCAAGUCGAACGGUGAAGCGCCUUCCUUUUUGGUGGGUGUGGAUGAGUGGCGAACGGGUGAGUAACACGUGAGUAACCUGCCCCCUUCUUCUGGAUAACCGCAUGAAAGUGUGGCUAAUACGGGAUAUUCUGGGUCUGUCGCAUGAUGGGUCUGGGAAAGAUCUUGUUUCGGUGGGGGAUGGGCUCGCGGCCUAUCAGCUUGUUGGUGGGGUGAUGGCCUACCAAGGCGGUGACGGGUAGCCGGCCUGAGAGGGUGGACGGUCACACUGGGACUGAGACACGGGCAAGACGCCUACGGGAGGCAGCAGUGGGGAAUAUUGCACAAUGGGCGCAAGCCUGAUGCAGCGACGCCGCGUGAGGGAUGGAGGCCUUCGGGUUGUGAACCUCUUUCGCCAGUGAAGCAGGCCUGCCUCGUUUGUGGGUGGGUUGACGGUAGCUGGAUAGGAAGCGCCGGCUAACUACGUG